rnacentral:lncRNA from 1 species
AAAAAGCAGCAGAACCUGGAAGUCCACGGGGAGCUUGGAUGCCAAAGGGAGGACGGCUGGGUCCUCUGGAGAGGACUACUCACUGGCAUAUUUCUGAGGUAUCUGUAGAAAACCACAGCCUCAGAUACUGGGGACUUUACAGUCCCACAGAACCGUCCUCCCAGGAAGCUGAAUUCAGCAAGAACAAUGGAGGCCAGCGGGAAGCUCAUUUGCAGACAAAGCAUUAAACAGUCAAUAACAUAAAUGACAGUCUUCUCUUUGUACUCCUCCCUGUACAACAUCACAGAGCUCCAUCUGUAUACACGAAAGUCACAUGAAAAUAGAACUCAGUGUUUUGUAUUACAUAGUCUAUUCAGUACAUUUAGAAGUAUUUUGCCUCCAAUAUUCAACCACAGUAAAAGACUCAGUGAGAACGCGUGGUGGCGCUGCAGGUUAAGAUGACGGAAAAUACAACUGCCUACGCAGCU